GAAAUGCGAUACGUAAUGUGAAUUGCAGGAUUCAGUGAAUCAUCAAGACCUUGAACGCAAAUGGUACUACACGGGUUCUCGGAUUCGUGUAGUAUAUCUGUUUGAGUGCUAGUUUGCUUUUAUCAACAAUUAAUUCAUUAAUUCGUUGGAGAGUGACGUCUUACGACGAGCCCUUAAAGCUUGUCGCAUGCGUUCAAGUGCAUUGCUAAGGUGGUGAUAACUAUCAAAAUGGUGAAUUAGUGUGAUUUACUUCACUCGAACACGCCAAUUUGUAUCAUCAAUCAUGGCUUCGCAGGAAAUAAAACAAACAUCUAUCAAAUAGCCUCAAAUCAGAUAAGACUACCCGCUGAAUUUAA
rnacentral:misc_RNA from 1 species